GCAGUCGAACGAAGUAGCAAUACUUAGUGGCAGACGGGUGAGUAACAUGUAGGUAUCUGCCCUUUGGCCUGGAAUAACACGAGGAAACUUGUGCUAAUACCGGAUAAGUCUUUACGGAGAAAGCUUUAUGCACCAUUGGAUGAGCCUGCACUUGAUUAGUUUGUUGGUGGGGUAAUGGCCUACCAAGACUGUGAUCAAUAGCUGAUUUGAGAGGAUGAUCAGCCACAUUGGGACUGAGACACGGCCCAAACUCCUACGGGAGGCAGCAGUGGGGAAUCUUGCACAAUGGAGGAAACUCUGAUGCAGCGAUGCCGCGUGAGUGAAGAAGGCCUUUGGGUUGUAAAGCUCUUUCGUCGGGGAAGAAAAUGACUGUACCCGAAUAAGAAGGUCCGGCUAACUUCGUGCCAGCAGCCGCGGUAAUACGAAGGGACCUAGCGUAGUUCGGAAUUACUGGGCUUAAAGAGUUCGUAGGUGGUUGAAAAAGUUAGUGGUGAAAUCCCAGAGCUUAACUCUGGAACUGCCAUUAAAACUUUUCAGCUAGAGUAUGAUAGAGGAAAGCAGAAUUUCUAGUGUAGAGGUGAAAUUCGUAGAUAUUAGAAAGAAUACCAAUUGCGAAGGCAGCUUUCUGGAUCAUUACUGACACUGAGGAACGAAAGCAUGGGUAGCGAAGAGGAUUAGAUACCCUCGUAGUCCAUGCCGUAAACGAUGUGUGUUAGACGUUGGAAAUUUAUUUUCAGUGUCGCANGGAAACCGAUAAACACACCGCCUGGGGAGUACGACCGCAAGGUUAAAACUCAAAUGAAUUGANGGGGACCCGCACAAGUAGUGGAGCAUGUGGUUUAAUUCGAAGAUACGCGCAGAACCUUACCAACACUUGACAUGUUCGUCGCGACUCUGAGAGAUUAGAGUUUUCGGUUCGGCCGGACGAAACACAGGUGCUGCAUGGCUGUCGUCAGC
rnacentral:rRNA from 1 species